rnacentral:lncRNA from 1 species
UGUGUGUUGGUUGAGAGUGCAUGCUUAAUUUUCAUACAUAAAUCUGAUGCUAGGAUAUAAGGGAGUUUCACCUAAUCGUUAUGAACUUAUAUCCACAAGUAGUGAAGGUUGCUCGUCACAACCGUGUUAAGUAAAUUCUUGGCAUAAGUUUCAUGCAAUUCAUAGUUACAAGUGCUUCGUUAAUGCUUAUGAUUUUCAUAGAAGUUAAUGAUUUAUGCUUGUAUCUCUAUUAUGCAAUUCAUGUAGGAAACUUGUGGGGAAUGUUUUGGGUUGUUGUAUGCAAUCAUCCAAUUUAAUGAAAUUAGGAAAAUCUGAGGGUUAAUUAAUGCAAUUCACAGUUAAUCUGGGGCGUUGAGAAUUCGUAGUUUAUUGAAAAGCAACUGGAAAUCGUUUUGUUUGCAAGUGUGUCAUGUGUGGAAAAGAACCUCCUAGCUAGCCUUCCAUCCAUUCAAUUUACUCAAAUUCGUCCAAAAAUCUGUUUUAUUUUACAACUUGUUUGUUUUGCUUUCAAAUUCAUCAAAAACCAAACCCCAUUUACUUUGUUGAGUCAUAUUAGUUAGAAACUUAUUUAGUUUGUGUUUUUAAGUGUUUUGAAUCAAGUUACAACCUAUUUUAGUCCAAUUUCACUCUUAGUGGCAGAUUUGAGUCUUUUAGCUUGUUUUGUGCUGUUUUGAGU